GAUGAACGCUGGCGGCGUGCCUAAUACAUGCAAGUCGAGCGAACGGACGAGAAGCUUGCUUCUCUGAUGUUAGCGGCGGACGGGUGAGUAACACGUGGAUAACCUACCUAUAAGACUGGGAUAACUUCGGGAACCCGUAGCUAAUACCGGAUAAUAUUUUGAACCGCAUGGUUCAAAAGUGAAAGACGGUCUUGCUGUCACUUAUAGAUGGAUCCGCGCUGCAUUAGCUAGUUGGUAAGGUAACGGCUUACCAAGGCAACGAUGCAUAGCCGACCUGAGAGGGUGAUAGGCCACACGGGAACUGAGACACGGUCAAGACUCCUACGGGAGGCAGCAGUAGGGAAUCUUCCGCAAUGGGCGAAAGCAUGACGGAGCAACGCCGCGUGAGUGAUGAAGGUCUUCGGAUCGUAAAACUCUGUUAUUAGGGAAGAACAUAUGUGUAAGUAACUGUGCACAUCUUGACGGUACCUAAUCAGAAAGCCACGGCUAACUACGUG
rnacentral:rRNA from 1 species